rnacentral:rRNA from 1 species
AGUGAUUUUUAUAUUUUCAACGGCCGCAGUACUUUGACUGUGCUAAGGUAGCGUAAUCAGUUGGCUUUUAAAUGGAGUCGAGAAUGAAGGGGUUUUCGGGAACUAGCUGUCUCUAUUAAGUUAACUUUAACUUACUUAAAGGGUGAAAAUUCCCUUUUGAAGAAAAAAGACGAGAAGACCCUAAGAGUUUUAAUUAAGCUAGCACAUAUGUGUGGGAAGUUUUUGCUGGGGCGGCAAAGAGACAAAAUUGUAAACCCUCUUGUUUAAUUUUUAGUGGACGUAUAUAAAAAGUAACAAUAAACUACCUUAGGGAUAACAGCAUAAUUUACUGUAAGUUUGUGACCUCGAUGUUGGACUAGGGACUUUACGGCUAGCAGUCGCAAGAGCAGGUUCUGUUCGAACUACCCUCCCCUAC